rnacentral:lncRNA from 1 species
AAUAAGCAACCAGAUUUCUGGAGGUAACAGGCCACUGUGAGGGGAGGAAACAGAAAUGAGCCUGGAAUCAGUCUGAGGAGGAGUGCAGAAACUGGAGUCACCAAGAGCACCACGAAGACAAAGUAGGUUUAAUACACUCAAAAAAAAAAAAACUGAAGAAGACAGAGACUUCCAAAAUUAUCAGAAAGACUCAAAACAAAUCUCAACUAGAAUUUGAGAAUAUUAAAAUUGUAUGGGAAAAAGCCAUCCAUAUGUGGAUCUGAUGCUAAUCACAUAUCAGAGCCUUUGAGAAAUUAAGGAUUAAAGAGAUUUCCCUCAGGGCUGGGGAUGUGGCUCAAGUGGUAGUGCGCUCGCCUGGCAUGCUCAGGGUGCUGGGUUCUAUCCUCAGCACCACAUAAAAUACAAUAAAGAUGUUGUGUCCACCAAAAACUGAAAAAUAAAUAUUUUUUAAAAGAGAGAUUUCCUUCAACUGGAACACACACACACACACACACACACUCAAGAGUGUCUGCUAGCAUCACUUUUAGUCAUGAUAAUAUUAAGGACCCAAGGCAAUGCAAUAAGACAAGAAAAAAAAUCUGAAGAUUAGAAGUGCAAUCAGUAUGUUGAAGAGACAUCUGCACUCUGUGUUCUCUACAGCACUGUUCACAAGAGACAAGCAAUGGAAAUGGCCCAAAUGUCCAUGAAUGGAUAAAGAAAAUGUGGCCCACAUUCAAUGUUCCAUGGGAUUCUAUUCAGCCAUAAAAAGAAUGAAAUCCUGUCAUUUUUAGCAACACUGAGGGGAUGGGAGAUCAUUACAUUAAGUGAAACAAGCCAGACACAGAGAGACAACUACUGCCCGAACACAUUCGCAUGUGGAAUCUAAAAAAGUUGAUGUCAUAGAAGUUGAGAGUAAAACUGUGGUUGCCAGAGUAGAGUAGAGUGACUAUAUCUGUGGUUCAGAAAGCUAGGAUAGAGGAUCUUAAAUGAUAAAUGUUUGAGGAUAUAAAUAUGUUUAACAUGAUUUAAAUGUUAUGCAAUAUACACAUGAAUUAAAAUGUGCAUGAUAUUGCAUUAUUAACAUUUCUGUUUUUAUGGGUCAGUUCUAUACGUUUUUAAAAAAGAUUGGGAAGUAAGAUACAAAACUCGUGAUGGUCAUAAGUUUAUAAUAUUAUCUGUGGUAACAUCUAAAGUAUCUACAGGCAAGUUAUUCAUUUGGUAGGAAAUUUGGCAAGUUUUCCACAUAGAAACACUAAAAAAGUCCACUGAACUUCUACAUAUUAGCAAGAAACAAGAAGUGAAAUUGAAAAAAUAUCAUUUUACGAAACUGAUAAAAGGUGUUCCAUAAGAAUGAAACUAACAAAACAUUAAAAGUUGAAAACCCUUAAAAAGAUGUAAAUAAAGGGAGAUAUCUGCCAUGUUUGGAGAUGAAUAUUGUGAAGAUUUUAAUUCUCCCAACAUUGAUCUACAGAUUCAAUGCAAUGCCAAUACCAGACAUACUAAGCUGUUUGUGAAAAUU